AGCAGCCGCGGUAAUUCCAGCUCCAAUAGCGUAUAUUAAAGUUGUUGCAGUUAAAAAGCUCGUAGUUGAAUUUCGGGAUUAGUACGCUGGUCGUGCCUUCGGUAUGUACUGGUGUUACUGGUUCCUACCUUCUGACGAACCGUCAUGUCAUUAAUUUGGUGUGGCGGGGAAUCAGGACUGUUACUUUGAAAAAUUAGAGUGUUUAAAGCAGGCUCGCGCUUGAAUACAUUAGCAUGGAAUAAUGAAAUAGGACGUUCGAUCCUAUUUUGUUGGUUUCUAGGAUUGACGUAAUGAUUAAUAGGGAUAGUUGGGGGCAUUAGUAUUCAAUUGUCAGAGGUGAAAUUCUUGGAUCUAUUGAAGACUAACUACUGCGAAAGCAUCUGCCAAGGAUGUUUUCAUUAAUCAAGAACGAAAGUUAGGGGAUCGAAGACGAUCAGAUACCGUCGUAGU
rnacentral:rRNA from 1 species